CCUCGGCCCUCGCGGGUGAGAAAAGCAGGGGAAUGUGAUCGCCCGUCUCGGCCGCCGAGAAAACCUUCUCUAGGAGGGGAGGUGACUGGUUGCUCGUCACACGGCACGGCCAGGACCCGAACCCAGAGCCCAGUCAGAGGCGCCGCUUCCUGGACUGUGAAAUCAGAACUGGGAGAAGAUGGUUUGCUGCUGCUGCUGCUUCUGGGGAUUUGGUCCCAGCUCCUAGGUGCUGCCUUGAGAAGACAAGCACUUACUUGAGGGGCGGCUGCAGCCCAGGCAGGGGAGGGGAGGAUUCAGCGAGUGUAGCGGUCAGGCCUUGCCUUCCAGUCCGGGGACAGAAGCUGGAUAGACAGGGCUCUCCCGGGGAGCAGCGGAAGGUGGUGCAGAAGCCGGGCGCUGCUGGAAGAUUCAGAGCCGGGGGCGAUGGGGGACGAGUUAGGCACGCUCCAGAACCUGGCACAUGGUAGGGGCUCCAUAAAUAACUGUCUAAGUGUCUGCUGCAGGAUGGAGGUGGGACUUGAGCUGCGUGAACUCCGGCUGAGCAGAGAGGACUGGAAAGAUCUGAGGGGACUGUUUUGAGCCCGGCAGCCCAGGGGCUUUGCAGGGCAGUCAGGAGCCGCCUGGAGGAGAGGGGCUCCAGGUUGUGUCUGGGUUGGAGAAGGUUGGCCGGGCGGGGGAUGGGUCUGAGGAGGGUCUGAGGGUCUCAGAGGGUGAGGAGGGCACCUGGGAAGUGGCCCCUCUGAGUGCUGGAGCUUUACUGCUUGUAAAAGUGACAGUUGACUUGGCAGCACCCACAGAGGACACAUCACCAGCAAAUGUUUGCCCAAUCCGGCUGCUCGUCUCUCCAGCUCCUCCCUGAGGGGUGCUCAGUGGUGGUGGCCGUGGUUGGCCUUUCCAGGUGAGGCCCUGCCAGGCCAGGAAAGGCCCAAGUGGGAGCUCACCAAGCCCUUCCUGUUCCCAUAUAUACCUUGAAAACCCAGCAAAGUCAUCUGCUGUGGUUGUAGGAACUGCCUUUAGAAUGGCACAUUUGCUGACUCUAAACAUCUGGGUCGUGAUGCAACUUCUUGCUGCAGCAGCUGCGUGGACCACAGGUUAUCACACUUAUCAGGGUCCCUCACACAGUGAGGUACCUGUGACACUCGAAAGGGACUCCCAAAAGGAGUUACGGGGAGGGAACUAGGAGCUCGAGGAGCUGCCUGGGAGUCAGGGGACCGGGGCUCAGAAAACAAAGAGGGACCAAGGGAGCCUAGUUAGCCGAUGCCACCACUGGGCUGCAGCACCGCUGGACUCAGCCCCUGCUGCCAUUACUCAGCUGUAGGCUCUGCUCCUGGGGGAGCUCCCACUGUCCAAGCCUGGUCUGUGCUCUGCACCCCAGCUGCCCAGGAGAGGGGGAGGUGAGAGCUGGAGCCCUUCAGCCUCUGAAGUGAGAGGAAAGGCCCUGCACAAUGCGGAUUGCCCCCAGUGGGAAGGCGGUGUGGACGCUGACAGCCCACCAAGUGUUCACAGCUACUGAGAGCUGUGAAGGGUCUUCAACAGGAGCAGCCGGACCACAUAAGCUUCUGAAGUUGCCCCCUGGCUGGGGAUGAUGUCGUGGGGAGGGGCUGGCAGCCACAGCCAGAGCGUGUUUUCAAUUGCCAGGUGUGAGGCUGAGAAAGACAUGCUGAUGGGAGGCGGGCAGAGCCACUGGGGAGCCGGCUGUUCCUUUUGCGAGAGCAGCAGGGACUCAGUUACUGGCAACAGAAGGUUUUUGUUUGUUUAUUUACCUCUUAAACACUGAAAAAGAUGUACAGUAAAGGUGUGUAAAACGAAAGGCCUCCUUCACUCUUCCCCAUCCCCCCCUCACCAGGCCGUGUGUCCUGACCUGUCCUCCUAUACAUUUUCAAACUGAUGUGUAAACCGUAGGUCAGGUUUCGGUUGGUCUCUUUUAGUAACUGGAAUUGUGUUGUAUAUGUUGAUCUGUGAUAUGCUUGUUGAAGAUGUUUCCAGUCCUGCAUACUCCUUUUAGCCACUACAUAACAUUCCAUAGAAUCAGUGUUCACCAUCUCUUUUUUUCUAUUAUAACCAGAUGAUCUUACUGAAAGUUACGGAAAACAUAGCCAGUGAAUUGAAAGGGCCUUGCUUAAGACGCCAUGAGAGUCACCAGAAGAUCCAGACCGAUGCCCCAGUCCUCACCUUGAUGCUUUUUAUAAUUCUACCCCCUUAACAGCCAUCCUAGGACGACACGCUCUGAAAAGAGUGACUUUCCCCCUUCCCUGUUUGGUGUUCACCGUCUCGAUGGACAUUUGGGUUGUUUCAUUCUGCUCUAGUUAUGAGCACUUUUGUGCACACGUUUGAGUGCAGGGAUGGGAUUUGAAGGGGAGAGUCUCCGUGUGAAUCCCUGCCCAUCUCAGGGGAAGAAGUGUUGACUUGGCAUCCAGCAGGCACCCCACUGCACGCUAAGCCACGUGGGAGAGCAGCUGGCCUGUGGAUUUGGGACUCAAAAAGUCCAGAGGCACCCGUGUGGCCAGUACCUGCAGAGGAACCCACCUCCUGGAGAAAAUAUGGGAUCGGAUGGCACAAGGAUUCUCUCUGUUGGCCACUGAAGGUUCGAGGUGGCUGUAGACAGUCCUGCCCCACAAAGGAGCUCACCGCCAGCAUGUGGAAUCUUAGUUCCCCGACCAGGGAUCGAACCUAUGCCCCCUUGCAGUGGAAGCACGGAGUCUUAACCACUGGACCGCCAGGGAAGUCCCAGGAGCCAGACCUUCUGAUGACGCAGCAAACCCCAGACGUUGAGCGGUUCAGCUAACACAGAGUGGAGCAGAGAUGGGCUGGCCCUGCCCAAGUUGCAGAUUCAUUAACAAAAUAAUACUGUUUUGGGUCACUCUAUUCUGGGGGCGGUGUUGUUUCACAGCAACAGAAAAUGAAACAAAGGACCUAAAGCUGGGGUGACCAACCAUCCCGGUUUGCCGGAAACUGAAAGGUUUCUGGGACUCAAGACAUUCAGUGCUGACACUGGCAGAGUCCAAGGCACACGGAUAAAGCAGUGGUUCUCAAACCUUCAUGUGCAUCGGAAACACCUAGGGAUUUAUUAAAACACAGAUGGCUGGGCCCUACCCCUAGAAUUUAGUGGAUCUAGAGUUGGGUCCAAUCAUUUGCAUUUCUAACAAGUUCCCUGUUGCUGGUUGGAGCCCAAACUUCCAGAAGGACUGGCCUGAAUGAAAGGCUGAGUUCGGGACCUGCAAAUCCCAGGUUACUGCAUGUCCCACUACUUCAUCCUCUGCGCGACCCAGCACUGUGGCAGGAAAUGGAGGAGGCCAAGGUCCUCUGGGUGUCAACCAGGAGAAACCCACAUCUUCCUGGCAGGGUGGCUGGGUGCUAUGGAAACAAGGCUAAGCCCGGAAGUGCCCAGGCUCCUUGGCACCUGCUUCCCAGAGGGAGCCUCAGCCCCUGCGGAGGAGCGAAGUGAACAAACAGCAGAGAUCAGCCCUCGACCAGGGAGGGUGCCUGCAGGUCCCCACCCCUCAGGAAGCAACCCUGAGGACAAACCUCUGCAAAGGAAACCACCCAUCUCCCAGGGCCUUGAGUUUUGUAGCUAGAGGGGACCUUUGCCAUCAUUGGGCCAACCUCCUCUUUUAACUGGGCGGGGUGGGGGGGAGCAGGGAAGCAGGCUGUGUGUUGACAUGACUUGUCAAGACCACCCGUCGAGAAUGAGAAGCUUCUCCCCUCCCAGCCGCCUUCCUGGGUCUUGGUCCCUCCUACCUCAGGCUCUGGCCCCAGCUCAGCCUGGGUGCCCACAGCUCCUCGCCCCACGUGGUCCUACGCUGUGAACCCACAUCCCCCUCGUGGGCCCUCCCCAUCCUGAGCGUCUCAGUCCACGUAGGCACCAGCCACCAGGAGCUGCAGGCCCGGGCAGAGGAAAGCUCGAAAGCGGCUGCUGCCUUACUGCAGGGCCCCAAGCUUCAGCGUGAAGACUGCAGAGUCCUGGACCCACCCCCGAGAGGCUGUGACGGGGCCCAGGCACCGACAUUCUCGACAAGAGCCCUACGUGAUUUGGAUGCAGGUAGCGUUGGCCAGACUCCGAGAAGCAACCCCCUAGCAUCAUCUUCCACAGAAGGCCACCGACAAAGAGGUGACGAAGUGACAGAAGCCUGACUCAAGUACACUUGGGAGGAAGCCGGAAUUUAUUACUGGUUCUAAAACCCAGACAACGGACAAAGCAGAGCAAAGAUGUCAUUUGGCCUCAUGCACAGUGGGAGCUGAGGCCUGGGAUGAAUUCCCUUGAUUCUCAUGGCUAAUUUUUCCAUCCAGCUGGACAUAAUAACCCACAGGUCACAUCUUCCACCAGGGAAUCGACUCACUCUCCCAAAUUAAGACACUCUGGGGGAGGGCUGAUUGGGUCAGGUGCUUCUCCCUGGACCAGCGAGUAGGAUCCUACGCAGGCCCCAGUAGCCCAGCCUGGUCGGUACUGCUCAGGGUCUGAGAGGGAAAUGUGGUAAAGAAGGGAGGACUUGGUUCCAGUCUGUGGAGGCCUCUCCCAACCACUGAGACUCUGGGCAGGAGACCUGGUACGGCAGCCAGCCUCCAAGACGGUACCAUGAUUCUUGUCUCCUGGCGUUCAUGUACCUAUGUACUCCCUCCUGUAUUGAACAGGGCUGACCUGGGUGAUGAAUAGGAUACUGCAGAAGUGAUGAAGUGUCUUCCAAGGUUAUGCUUUAAGAAGUAUUGCAGCUUCUUCCUUGCUCACUCUUGGGUCACUGGCUCCGGGGGAGCCAGCUGCCAUACUGUGAGGCACUCAAUCAGCCCUUUGGGCCAGGGCUGGGAUGAGGGUGAGUGAGGUAUUGGCUCAGGCUCAGAAUUUAAGGGGUUGCCAAUAAAGCCAGUUAUCAAGAUA